UAAGGAAUAUUGGUCAAUGGGCGCAAGCCUGAACCAGCCAUGCCGCGUGCAGGAAGACGGCCCUACGGGUUGUAAACUGCUUUUUGUACGGGGAAUAAAACCCUGAUACGUGUAUCAGGCUGAAUGUACCGUAAGAAUAAGGAUCGGCUAACUCCGUGCCAGCAGCCGCGGUAAUACGAAGGGGGCUAGCGUUGCUCGGAAUCACUGGGCGUAAAGCGCACGUAGGUGGCUUUGCAAGUCAGAUGUGAAAUCCCCGGGCUUAACCUGGGAACUGCAUUUGAGACUGCAUUGCUAGAGUAUGGGAGAGGGCAGUGGAAUUUCCGGUGUAGCGGUGAAAUGCGUAGAUAUCGGAAGGAACAUCAGUGGCGAAAGCGACUGCCUGGACCAAUACUGACGCUCAUGUGCGAAAGCGUGGGGAGCAAACAGGAUUAGAUACCC
rnacentral:rRNA from 1 species